AGGCACCAGCGAGAUUCGAAAUCGCGACCCCUGGUUUAUGAGACCAGUGCUCUAACCUCUGAGCUAUGGUGGA
rnacentral:tRNA from 1 species